rnacentral:lncRNA from 1 species
GUAUAUACGUGUUUUAUUAACCUGUUAUUUAUCAAUUUUGACCAUCUUUUUUUUGCCUUUAAUAGUAUAGUGUACUCUUCAAUUUAAUAUUUAGUCAUGCCCAGCUUUCUUAAAACUCGACCCCAAUAAGACCAUGGUUUAUGGCCUUGAGUAAUUGACCAUGGUCAACUCCUGACCAAAUGGAUAUGCACCAUGUUAGAAAAUAUUUAAGCUAGUAAUUAAGAAGGGAAGACGGGGGUAACAUGGGUAUUUGGGCAUAAGAAUCUUGUAACAAACCCUUGGAACCUUCUAGUUGGAGGUUCGAAAUGCAAUUUCUGUUAAUUUCUUCUCAAUACUUGAGGCACAAGGUAAAAAAGAAGGGAUAAAUUAAGCAAAUCUAGAAAAUGGGGAAGGGACUAAUAAGAAAACGAGAAGAAAUUGUUGCCCGACGGCCUUGGCUAUAAAAGAAUAUCUUAUGGUUUUAGAAUGGAGAGAUUUUUUUAAGAGAAGAGUUCGAGAACACCAUCUGAAAAAUUCCCUGAAAUUCCCAAGCUUUUCUAGCCAAAAACCUCUUAUAUUUUCCAUAAAUAAUCAGUAUUACAUCCUUUGUAUGGUGAAGAUGACCUAAGGCAUAUAGAUUUAGGGUGUUAGAAUUCUCAUAAUCUACUUUGGGUACUGGUCUCAGACCAAAUGUUUGUUUUGUUUGAGCUAUAGAAUUGGAACUUGUGUUGUUGUUGAUCUUUCAAAGCCUUUCUGAGUUUACUGAUACUACUCCAGGAUCUAAAUUGAUUGAUCUGCUGCUGUUUGUUGCUUCUCACUUACCUUAAUCAUAGGUGUUUCCUCUUUGCUUUAAUUCCAAGUACCUACUCUCACUCAGGAAAAUCUGGAAAUGCACAGCUGUAUAUAUGCAUAGUCAUAUUUGAUAAUGAAGACAUUUAUAUUUUUUUAUAUUAAUGUGAUAGUUCAAAUGUUACUAGUUUAGUAGCAUUUAGGAUAUUCAUCUUAUCUUGGUGUUGUAAUAUGUAUGAACAUUAAACUAUGCUGGACUGUUAGCUUUAAUUUGUUUAAAUUUUAGUAGGUUAAAAAAUAUGGUAGAAUAUAGCUUGCUUGGUUUUCAUGUUUGAUUCAGUAAUACGGAGUCACCAUAUGUACAUGUAUUCUGAUUGAUAAUUCCAUCGGUUUUAGAUGUUGAAUUCGAAACCUGAGUUGUAGCAUAUUGAGUUACUAGUACGAAAAUCACUAGUCGGAUUUUCUUCUGUUAAAUGUCUUUAAUAUGUUAAAAUGAUCACCUAUAAGUAAUCUCAACAACUGUAGUGUAGUGAUUUUGGGGAAUGCCAUUCUUUCCUUGUGGAUAAUUUGUAGUACCAAAUUUCUGGGCUCAAUCGAAGGCCCAUAUCAUUGUAAGUUACGAAGUAUGAGAAAAUAUACUUCUAGGCUAUUUACUUUCGUUAAUAAAAACCCAAUUGCAGAAAUCUUUUAUACAAAUGCUGAAAAUAUGCAUACAGAUUGUUUCAUUUGGAUAAACUAUUAACAUAUGAAUCGAUUAGGACUCCUCUUUUAUUUAGAGACAUGCGUAAUAGAGAAUCAAGUCCCUUUAGGUUGCCUUUCUAAAAUAAACUAAGUGAGCCACGCUAACAAAAUCAUACGCUGCGUUGGCACUCUAAUUGUAAUAAAAUGCUUAGAACUCUGGGAGAUAUCGUUUAAUGAAUUCCACGGUUUUUCCCACAAUGUUUAAAACAGGUAGUCGCUAUAGGCGCGUUAUUUUUAUAAUGUAUCUUCCUAAAUUCGGGUGCACAUAUAUGUGGCCAAAUCCAAGUCUCAACGAUGUUAAAACAUGUCGAGAAUCAGGGUGCAUUUAUAUGACGUGGUUCGAGACGUGUUUUAAUAACAUUGCAAAUAUUCCUAAAUAUGAAUUAAGCGGUUAAUAGUUUUAAAAUUGCACUGUAGGAUAAACAUGUAUAAAAAUCAGGAAAUUGGCCAUUUAUAAUAGUUUAAGUGACUGUGCUAGAACUACGGAAUCCGAGGGUGCCUAACACCUUCCCUCGGAUUAACAGAAUUCCUUACUUAGAAUUUCAGGUUCGCAAACUCCAAUUGGGCAGUCGGAAAAUUUCCUAGAUUUGGGAUCUUAAAUAAAUUAGUGACUUGGGACACCAAAAGCCAAACCUAUCCCAAGUGGUGACUCUAAUAAAUAAAUGAUCCGAUUUCGAAUAAUGUUACUUUAAUUGGAAAAACUCCCUUAUACGUGUCAUCCUUCGGGGUAGCCGUGUAAAAAAGGAGGUGUGACAACUCUGCGACUCUGCUAGGGAUAUGACCCAGAAUCUUUUGUUCAGGGUUCAAGAAUUCUAGCUUAGAAUAACUGUUAUGUUUGGCUUCUUCUGAUUUGCUUACAUGUUCUAUACUAAGUGCUAAAUGCUUUACCGCCUUGAUAUUGGAUGAAUUGUACAUAUAAACUGCUACGAAACCCUUGCCUUCUCACCUCUGGAGAUGUACUUACUGGUUGAGACUCCCUAUUCUAUUAGUUUCAUACCUGAAAAUAAGAAAGAGUUCGGACAAGUUACUAAGCUAGAUGGCCUUUUGGUCCCCGGUAUGUAGCCCCCUCCUCGACUCGAGUCAUUCGGGGGCACAGUCUAGAUCACAUACCAAGGUUUUUAACUUAGAAUAACUUCACCUCAUGAUGGAUCCCUAGUAGGAACGCUUAUUUGCGUCAUGCAUUUGACUUAGGGGACUCAACAUAGGGGUUGGAUCCAUCUAGGACAGGUGACCCGAAAUGAAAAGACCCUUCCGAUGCAUGUUACGUGCUACUUGCACAUUUAUUUUCCUUGGAUUCGCAUGUUGACCGACUUGUGAAUAAAGAGGAAAUUUGAGAGUUGCUGAGAUUAAUCAUUUGUAACACCAAUGCUCAAAUGGCGCCGAACUGCUGCCGGAUUUUUCAAAAAAAAAAAUCAAAAAUACAAAACAAAGGGAAAAGAAAUUGGGAAAGUUUUUCAACAAUAUUUUUGGUUUUGAUAAAUUAUUUUGCCAGGUCCAAUCUCUCUUUCGCAAAAAAAUGCAAAACCAGAAAAAACAAAUGUCCGAUUUUAUCCACUUGUUUCAAAAUAAAUCGGGUGAUGCCAUUGCUACCGGAAAUAGCCGAAUGUUACCACAAGGGAUGCUGGGAGGCUGAUCCUGCACAAAUGGCCACCUCUGAGUCUUAUUUUGACCAGCAAGCGAGCACAGCCUGAAAAACCUUCCUUCGAAAGUGUUGCAAGGUCGUAUUUGCAAAGCGGGGCCCUGAUUUUAAGAAAUGAAUUUCAUAAAUAUUGGUUUUAAUAUUUUGUGGAUACUAAUUCACCUUAAUAAAUGUACAGAAUGAGAAUGAUAAUGUUCAUGAACAAAAUUCCCUUGGAGUUGCGACUGUGGUGGGAUGACCUGGGGGACGCAGGGCAAAAAAUGGCCAAUACGCAUCUGGGAGGCCUCACUGGUUUGUUAAAAAUUAAUCCAAGGGAGACAUCAUAAAAGCAUUAAUCACAUUUUGGGUCCGGCUCACAAUGUUUCACUUCUCGAACUUUGAACUCACACCGACAUUGGAGGAAAUAACUGGAUAUAUUGGGACACCUACAUUCCUUUGAGACACCUAUACUUGAUUGCGCCAAGAGCCCUUGCCGUGCACAAAUUCCUAGACUCCUUGAAAAUCAGUAGGAAGGUUCACAAUCUGGACCUAUUAGUUGGCUUCUGUACCCUGCACUUUAUAUAUCAGAGGUACGUACAUAUCGGGGGAUUCCAUAACCCCGAAAAUCAUAUUUGUAGCAAAGGAAAUCAGCUCAAAUCGGAGGAGCAUCGAUGUUUUGCUUUCAUGGUAUUUUUCUUGGUCUUCUGGUGUUUCCGCGAAAGGAUGGGAAUUUUGACAUACAGAUAGCAGGGUCAUCAGCACUUUAAUGACCUAGGCCAAAAGUACCCUCGCUCCAAUGAUCCUAUCCGAAAUCUUCCGUGCUCUCACCGCCUGUAAAGUAGGAGGAGACUUCUUCGAAUGAUGUAACCUGUUGUUGCAAAUAUGGAUGAUCGAGCAUCUGUGACACCGGCCUCGGUUCAUGAGUUAUGGGUUACCAACAAAGAGCUGCAUAGAAGAAUUCUGCAAUAGGGUUGAUGAGUUUAGAGUACCUGGGGGUGUCACAUAAUGGGUAUCGCAUCUCCGGGUCAUCACCACAAAUUAGAUAGAGUGGACAUUCGGGUGGCUCCCUGUGGAUGAAGUUGUGUAUAUGCCAGCCACCGGGCCUCAUUUUCUUCUGAUGGGUCUCCAAAGUAUCUAGCCCUAUGCGCCAUACAGAGUAUUAAGACAAUUAGGUACAUGCCAAAUGAUCCCCAAAGACGAGGAUAUUAGACGUCAUGCGGUGGAGAUAAACCCAAAUGGUCAAUUCCCUGAAAUCGUCAUACGUCAAAUCUGGAGUGAAUGUCAAUACUUGACAGCAGGUACUCGAGUACGCCACAUAUCUAAAGUCGAGGUUGCACUGGGGUAUGUUUCUUGGUAUAAAAGAGAAAUAGAGCCUGUACGGCCGUCCAAGAGACUACAUCUCCAAGAAUUUGCCGAAUCGUCACAAAAGCAAUGGGAUUCGCUAGCCAAGGAAAAUGAAUAUAGGGCCACUAUAGGAAGAUUGGAAAAGCAAAUCAAAGAGCUGCAAUUUGAAAAUAAUUUGCAAGCUAUAGCCAGUGAGGGAGAAAAGAAGAUAUUAACCAAAGAAAACGAAGCCUUACGAGCCUAAAUUCACAUAAUGAAAGCGGCCACAGAAAAUCCCCCCAGAAGCACAUAAUAUGAAAAACUCAUAGAAAAUUUACGGCGGAAAGUAACUGAGUAUGGUUUUGACUUGAAUAAGGCAGAAGGUGAGCUAUCCAGGGUUUGGAAGUAAUUGGUUAAAAGUGCAGAGGACAUUGUUAUGCAGUAAUAGCAGGAUUAGAAAUGGAUUUGCAGCAAUUCCAGAAGCUGAAUCAGGUAGUAGAGCAAACUCUAGAGGUAAGGGCCGAGCAAAUUGGCCGUUUGUUGCAAGAAAAGGGUAUUAUAGGGAAAUGAUACGGUCAACUGUAGAUUACAUCACCACAAAGUGCAACCAUUGUGAGGAUAUAACAAAAUCCAUGUUCUUUGCCACCGCCAUGACUUUUGUUCGGCAAGUGAUGGAAGACCUCCACCAUCUCCAAGGGAGUUUAGCACGCAAGGCCGAGUGAUGCCCCACAAACUCCAAAAGCAGUUAAAGUCUUAAUGUAUUCAUGAUUUCUGAAAAUUGUAAAUUUUCUUAAAAAUAGUCUGUCAGUCUGUGUUUUCUUUACGCAUUAUAUCUGUCACGACCCAGCCACACAAGCUCUAAAUGCAGUUGAAGCCUUAAUGUAUUCAUAAUUUCUGAAAAAUUGUAAUUUUCUUAAAAGAGUCUGUUAGUCUGUAUUUUCUUUUAUGCACCAUUCGAGUCUGUAAGUUUCAUUGUGUCCAAGUAUGUUAGUUGCCUUUAACUUUGUUAGUUUUUGCAACCAAAGUUCGCCUUAUAAAAAUUGAAAAUCCCAAAGUAUCCUGUUAUUUCCAUCACAUUGUUCCCAUGAACUACGCUCGGUCUGAUUCAUACGGGGCAUGAUAUGUAGGCAAUCUUCAUAGAAUUCGACCGUAUUCUUAAUAGAGGAAAGCUAAAAAGGAAAUAAGAAUUGGAAACCAAAAGGAAGUUUGGAAUAAAUGUCGGGACGACGCAUGCGACCAUUGCAAACAUAUAGAAACCCGUUAACUAUGUAGGUGCAUCAUACACAACAUGUGAUUUCCUGUUCGUUAUCUAUCCCAACCUAUCCGUUUGUAAUUCCAGUUUGCAGUCCAGGUUUUUGUAGAACAGUGGUUGGUUUGUUGUAAGUUGGCAUCAUAUAGAUACUUUACUAAAUCAAAAGGAAGUACAGAAAGGUCAUCCGAAAAGACUCAACCGGUAGUUUUAAUCCUAGAGGACAGCCCGAUUGCGUGGAUCCCAGCCUCGGAAUCUGCGGCAGCUGAAGAAAAUAGGAUCCUUCGACUCACAGUCAUGGAGAUGUGGGAUGCUUGGACGAAUGGAAAAGAGCCUCCAAGUGCCAUCCCUGGAUUCCCUGAGCUUUUCCAAAGGUCGGGGGUACCUCCACUAUCACCAUCAACCGCCCAAAUAUCCUCUUGGGGCAGCAUACCAUACCAGCCAACUUUGUCGGAGCACCUUCUGAAGCUCGUCCUCAGGUGUUCACAUCUGUCCCAUUUCCUAAUAUUUUUACGGCUCCCCCAUGUGCAGCCACCACAUAACUCGCAGUGCCAAGACCCAUGUUUGAUCCUACGGCUUUCACAUUUCAAACUCCCAACUACCAAAAUGAGCCUCCCCCAUAACCCACAUAUCCUCAACCAGGAUAUGCAUUCACACCAAUGCAAGACAACUCCUAAAACGCCUGAACAAGGUGAGAUAGCAAGAAGGAUGAAAAGCCUUCAGCAAAGCUUGAAGAAUACGCAGGGCUUGAGUGGACAGAGAAGCAUGUCUUACAUGGACUUAUGCAUGUUCUGGCAUGUACAUCUUCCCCUGGUAUUCAAAACGCCGAACUUUGAAAAGUAUGAUGGUCAUGGCGACCCCAUUGCUCAUUUGAAAAAAUACUGCAACCAAUUGCGUGGGGCAAGUGAAAAAGAAGAACUCUUUACGGCGUACUUCGGGGAAAGCUUGGUAGGCAUCGCUUCGGAAUGGUACAUGGACCAGGACAUCACUCAAUGGCAUAUUUGGGAUGAUCUUGCCUGGGACUUCGUAAGGCAGUUCCAGUAUAACAUCGACAUUGCCCCUGACAGGAACUCUUUGGCCAAUCUGAAAAAGAAACCUUCGGAAAGUCUUAGAGAAUAUGCUUUCAAGUGGCGCGAACAAGAGUCAAGAGUAUAACCGCCCUUGGAUGAGAAAAAGAUGGUCACUGUUUUUUCUCCAGGCACAGGAGGCGGAUUAUUUCCAAAAUAUGAUGUCAGCAAUGGGCAAACCUUUCACGGAAGCAACCAAGAUCUGUGAGAUGGUAGAAACUAGCUUCAAAACAGGAAGAAUUCUGAGCUAGUCAGCCAUAAGGGCGACCUCCCAGUCCAUACAAAGCGGGGCAGGAGGAGUCGCAAGAAACAAAAAGAAAGAGGAAGCUUGAAUGGCAGCCUCCAGCAUGAGAAGGCACCAUUCCCCCAGGCAUGUGUUCUCAGAAAGGACCCUCAACAUUACUAUGCUCAUCAAGACAUGCAUUAUGUUCCACACCCUUAUGCAGUUACGAUUGCCCAGCCAUUCGCUCGACCAAAAUAACAGGGCAACAGAAACCAGGCACCGAGAAAUCAGCCUCCCCAAAACCACUAUAAUCCCUGCCCUCCCCAAAACAAUUUUGGUCCUAGGGAGCCACCGAAAGACAAAACUUCACACCAAUAGGGAAAUCCUAUGCCAGCUUUCUCCCAAAACUGGUCCAGAUAGGUCUCUUGCAGCCCGUGCUCCCAAACAGGCAGAACCCUGAGUCACCUUCCUAUCAACGGGGUAUACGAUGUGCUUAUCGUUCAGGGGUCGAAGGACACGACACGAAAAACUGUUGGACUCUGAAGCUAGCAGUGGAGGACCUAAUAGAACAAAAGAAAAUAGUGUUGAGAGAUGAAGAUGUCCCAAACGUAAUCAAUAACCUGUUACCGCCUCACAAUAAUGGGCCAGUCAUCGAGAUGAUUUGCGAGGACAAAGAGUUUGACCCUGCUUUAAAAUCCAUAAUAGCCAUUGUUGAUGCAGACAGAAAACUAAAGGUUACCUCCAAGAAGGUUGAAGAAAAAGAAACGAGUGAAGCCAAGCACCCGGAAGCAGAGAAGAAGGUUGAAAUUAAAACUGAGACAGCAACCACCAAGGAAACCAUACUUUACAUCCCACGGGGGCGUCAAGAAAAACAACCCACUAUGAGUCCCCCAAGAAGGUUUGAGUUGAACAAGACAAUGUAUGUACCCAGGGGAGCUUAUGUGGAACGAGGACCGAUUAAACCACCAAGGCUAAAUGAGCUCAUGGUAAUCGGUCGCGUGCCUUAGAAGCCAAUGACAGACCCUUUUGCAGUCCCAUGGAACUACCAAGAAACUAUAGUAACACACAAAGGCAAAGAGAUCACUAGGGAAACUCAAAAGGGCCACCCCGCAAAAAAUUAUUCGAAGAUGGAAGAAGUGAACACUGCCACCAAAAGGUCGAUUUCCACCCAAAAACCCCGUAAAUGCUGAAGAGGCGGAGGGCUUCUUUCGAAAUAUGAAAAUGCCAGAUUAUGAGGUAUUGGACCAGCUCCGGAAAUCUCCCGAGCAAGUAUCUUUAUUAUCAUUGCUGAUGAAUUCUCUAGAGCACCAGAAAGUGUUGGCCAAAACCUUGAAUGAAGCCUAUGUACCUGUUCAAACCUCCGUGGAACAACUGGAUAAAAUGGCGGAAAUAUUAUUCGCUAUUAAUCAGGUCACAUUCAGCAAGAAUGAUUUGCCUCUAGAGGGAGCUGCCCACAACAAAGCCUUGCAUCGCACCGUCAAAUGUGAAGUCUAUUAUGUCAAAAGAGUAAUGAUAGAUGGAGGUUCCGGGGUGGAUAUAUGCCCACUAUCAACAUUGCAAAGAAUAGAGAUUUGAAAAGAGAGGAUCCGUCCCAACAAUGUGUGUGUCUGAGCCUUUGAUGGAAUCAAGAGAGACACCAUAGGGGAAAUUGACUUAGUAUUGACCGUCGAUCGUUGCAAAGAAUGGAAAUCGGAACAGAUAGGAUUUGUCCCAACAAUGUGUGUGUCCGAGCUUUCGACGAAAUUAAAAGGGACACCAUUGGGGAAAGUGACUUAGUAUUGACCAUCGGUCCAGUUGAUUUUGAAGUGACAUUUCAAGUAUUAAACAUGGACACAUCCUAUAACUAUCUCCUAGGAAGACCAUGGAUUCAUGCGGCAGGAGAGGUUCCUUCUACUCUGCACCAAAUGUUGAAAUUCGAACAUGAAAACCAGGAGAUCGUGGUCCACAAAGAAGACGAGAAGUCAAUUUACCGUGAUCCUUCUGUCCCCUGCCUCGAAGAUAAAGAGGAAAGUAAGCAUAUAGUCUACCAGGCUUCUGGAAUUGUGGUAGCUGAUCAACACAAUGAAGGCAAACUAUGUCCCCAGCCUUUCCUCUCCAAUGCCUCAAUCAUGGUAGCAAAAGAGAUGAUACUCCAAGGGUUCAAGCCAGGCAAGGGACUUGGAAGUUCUCUACAAGGAAUUACUAAGCCUAUCGUUUUGCCUACCGCGGAGAAUUUUUUUGGGCUAGGUUUCCAUCCCGCGCCGGAGGAUAUCACCUGGGCCAACCUUAGGAAACGUCAUGGAUGGGCUUUGCCACAACCCCUACCCUACUUGUACAAAAAACUUGUGAAACCAAAGUACAGUGAAGAAGAAGAAGAUGAGACCUUCACAGCGAAGGAAAUUGAAGAGAUAUGUGGGGCCAUGAGGAAAUUAAUGUAUGAAGCCAACAUGGUCCAGUUGGGAGAAGGCUCAAGCACUGCUGGGGUGCUCUACAUAGGACCGGAUGCCAAGGUUCAAAACGAGUUAUUUCAGGGUGUAGCUCGGGUGUUUUUCUUUAGUAUUUUGUCCUUUAAAUUCCAGAUGUAAACCUUGUUAUCUUACAGUUUCAAAGAAAUGAAAUCAAUAUUUCAUCGUUUGCACUUCUCUAUUUUUUCUGAUCUUGUUUUUCUUCUAUUUCAUUUUUUUCUUUCAGUCUUAAUAAUGCGGCUUAAAUAAUAUGACAUUAUCGCGGACUUCAUGCCCCGGUCCGAACAUGCUGCCUAUUUGUAAGAUAAUGAACCAAGGAUCAGAGUAUGAUGAAGAAGAGGAUUUUAGGGAAAUCAACCGAGAGUUGGAACAUUUGAAAAUAGACCUAAGCCGGAUUUAAAUGAUACCAAACUGGUUAACUUGGGGUAUCCCGGCAAAACCAAGGAAACUAAAAUAAGCAUCCAUAUGGAUAAGAAAAUCCGGGAUUCACUGGUUCAACUUAUUUUGGAAUUCAAAGAUGUAUUUGCUUGGUGUUACGAUGAUAUGCCUGGGCUGAGUGUUGAUCUGGUGGUUCAUAAGUUGCCCACAUACCCUGAAUGCCGUCCAGUCCAACAGAAACAAAGAAAGUUCAAACUUGAUAUCAGCGAUAAGAUCAAAGAAGAGAUCACAAAAUAGUUAGAGGCAGGGGUAAUCCGAGUGGUUCGAUACACCACAUGGUUGGCCAAUGUGGUCCCGAUACCAAAGAAAGAUGGAAAACCCCGAGUAUGUGUAAACUACAUAGAUUUAAACAAGGUGAGUCCAAAAGACAAUUUCCCUUUACCUAACAUCCACAUCCUUGUUGACAACUGUGCCAAACACGAGAUACAAUCCUUUGUAGAUUGCUACGCAGGAUACCACCAAGUGUUGAUGGAUGAGGAAGAUGCUAAGAAAACUGCCUUCACCACACCUUGGGAGACUUACUGUUACAAAGUUAUGCCUUUCGGUUUAAAGAACACUGGGGAAACAUAUAUGAGGGCUAUGACCACCAUUUUCCAUUACAUGAUGCAUAAGGAAAUAGAAGUAUAUGUGGACGAUGUGAUUAUCAAGUCCAAAACUCAGGGUGAUCAUGUAAGGGACAUAUGAAAAUUCUUCGAAAGGCUUUGCAAGUACAAUUUGAAAUUGAAUCCAACCAAGUGUGCAUUUGGGGUCCCCGUCAGGCAAACUUCUGUGAUUCAUUGUUAGUCGAAGGGGCAUCGAGUUGGAUCCGACCAAGAAGGAUGUAAUGAGCCUACUGGGAAUACUCAAUUACAUCAGCCGAUUCAUUGCCCACUUGACUUCCACAUACGAGCCCAUAUUCAAGAUAUUGAAAAAGGACGCAGCAAUUAAAUGGACCGGUGAGUGUCAAGAGGCCUUCAACAGAAUCAAACACUACUUGUCCAACCCACCAAUCUUGGUCCCACCAGAACUGGAAAGGCCAUUGUUUCUUUAUUUAAGAGUCCUGGAGAACUCUUUUGGUUGUAUUCUCGGGCAGCAUGAUACCACGGUAAAGAAGGAGCAAGCCAUCUAUUAUUUGAGCAAGAAGUUUACCAGUUACGAGGCCAAAUACACGCUGCUAGAAAGAACCUGUUGUGCCUUGACGUGGGUGGCCCAAAAGUUGAGACAUACCUGCAAUCCCCCACCACCUACCUCAUAACCAGGAUGGAUCCAUUGAGGUAUAUAUUCCAAAAAUCGAGGCCCACAGGGCGAUUGGCGAAAUGGAAAAUCCUGCUCACCGAGUUCGACAUAGUUUAUGUCACUCGUACAGCAAUGACGAAGAAUCCAGUUGACGAUGAAUAUAAUCCUUUGAAUACCUAUUUCCCUGAUGAAGAAGUGAAUUCGGUAGAAGUAACAUCUGAAGACACCCUUCGCUUGGAAAAUGUUCUUCGACGGAGCAGUAAACGCAAAAGGCUUAGGGAUUGGGGCAAUUUUAAUGUCACUCACGGGUCAGCAUUACCUGGCUACAGCAAGGCUCCAGUUUUUCUGCACCAAUAAUACAUCUGAAUACGAAGCUUGCAUCAUGGCCAUGAACAUGGCCAUUGACCAAGAUGUUGAGGAGUUGUUAAUCAUGGGGAAUUCAGAUUUGAUCAUCCGACAGGCUCAAGUAGAGUGGGAAACAAGAGACGUUAAACUCAUCCCAUAUAGACAGCAUGUGGAGGAUCUCAUUAAACAGUUCAGUUCGGUACAAUUCAGGUACAUCCCUCGUUGUCACAAUGAGCUAGCAGACGCACUCACAACUCUGACUUCUAUGUUGCCUUACCCUGGAAACGCUUAUGUUGAUCCUUUGGAAAUCCAAAUCAAAGAAAGGCAUGGGUAUUGUAAUGUGACCGAGGUAGAAUCCAGCACCCAGCUCUGGUAUUAUGACAUCAAGAGAUUUAUGAAAACACAAGAGUAUCCCGAGCAAGCUACCGGGGAGCAAAAGAAAACCAUCCGACGACGCGACCGAGCCAGAGUCCAGCACCCAUCCCUGGUAUUAUGACAUCAAGAGAUUUCUGACAACACAAGACUAUCACGAGUAAGCCACCGGGGAGCAAAAUAUAACCAUCCGACGGCACGCAAGUAGUUUCUUGUUGAGUGUGAUACCUUAUACAAAAAGACCCCAGAUCUCAACUUGCUGAGAUGUGUUGACACCGAGGAAGCUGGAAGAAUUAUGCAUGAAGUACACAUAGGAGUGUGUGGACCCCAUAUGAAUGGAUAUGUACUAGCAAAGAAAAUACUUCGAGCAGGGUAUUACUGGAUGACCAUGGAGAAAGAUNNNNNNNNNNNNNNNNNNNNNNNNNNNNNNNNNNNNNNNNNNNNNNNNNNNNNNNNNNNNNNNNNNNNNNNNNNNNNNNNNNNNNNNNNNNNNNNNNNNNNNNNNNNNNNNNNNGUUCGUUCGAAAAUGUCAUCAAUGUCAGGUGCACGGUGAUUUGAUUCAUGCACUGCCAACCGAAUUGCAUCCUAUGUCAGCACCCUGGCCAUUCACUGCUUGGGGCAUGGAUGUCAUUGGGCCGAUUGAGCCAAAGCCUCAACUGGACAUAGAUUCAUAUUGGUCGCUAUUGACUAAUUCACAAAAUGGGUUGAAGUCAUCACACUCAAGUACGUCACCAAGAAAGUUGUGGUAGAUUUUGUGCAUUCCAACAUCAUUUGCCAUUUCGGAAUUCCCGCAACCAUCAUUAUAGACAAUGCGGCAAAUCUGAAUAGUCGUUUAAUGGGAGAAAUAUGUGAACAAUUUAAGAUAACACAUAGAAACUCCACCCCUUAUCGGCCCAAAGCUAAUGGUGCAGUUGAAGCAGCUAACAAGAACAUCAAGAGGAUUUUGAGAAAAAUGAUUCAAAGCUCAAAACAAUUGCAUGAAAAACUGCCUUUCGCAUUGCUGGGAUAUCGCACCACUGUCCGCAGAUCGGUAGGAGCAACUCCGUAUUUACUGGUCUAUGGGAUUGAAGUCGUCAUACCCGCAGAAGUAGAAAUCCCUUCCCUUUGGGUAAUUGUCGAAGUAGAAAUUGAGGAUAGCGAGUGGGUUAAAACUCGUUUGGAGCAGUUGUCACUAAUUGAGGAAAAACGAAUGGCUGCAGUUUGUCACGGGAAGUUAUACCAAUAAAGAAUGGCUCGUGCUUAUAAAAAGAAAGUGCGCCCUAGAAAUUUCGAAGUCAGACAGCUGGUAUUGAGGCGUAUACUCCCUCACCAUCAUGAAGCCAAAUGAAAGUUUGCUCCGAACUUGAAAGGACCGUACAUUAUCAGAAAGAUAUCACCCAAAGGAGCGUUGUGCCUGGGUGAAGUUGAAGGAGACGAGCCCGAGACAGCAGUAAACGCAGAUGAAGUAAAAAGGUAUUACAUUUGAACCCUCUGCUGCAAUGAUUCCAGCCGGUUGAAAUGAUGAAGGCUUUCUUUCCCGCUACCCUAAAACACUGCCAAUCCUUCGCAAACCCCUCGAUCCGAUUGCAUUUUUUUGUUUACCCUCUUUGGAACCAAGAGUUGGUAUUCAAAAAAAAUGAAUGAUUGAAAACAAAAGAAACAACAAACAAAUUAGUUUAGGAAACACUUACUGAACUACAUCUGACUUGAUUAUGAAAGGAUACGUAGGUAGCCUCUCCCUGAGGUCCGGUCAUAUCAAAAUAAAACCCCAGUUCUCCAAGAAAUUAAACUGGGGCAGAAAUGUAGUAGUUCGGCCACAAACCCUCUGAAGUGGUUCCAAAGUUGUAAACUUCCAUCUGAUUUCCUUUGCUCAAGAGCCUGAUCCAAGUCCUUCCGAUCAAUUGACCAAACAAGGAUGGGUUAAACACCCUUGUUGGGGUUCAGCACAUUUCAAAUUGAGAGAAAUAAAAUUGGAGAGUCUUAUCGGUGAAAUCCUUCGGGCACCAUAAGGCGACGGUGAAUAGAGAAAAUACAAAUGAGAGAGUCCAUUUAGUGAAAACCCAUAAUGAGCAAUAUCGGACGACGAGAGAAGAUAAAUGAGAGAGGCCGAUUGGCGAAAAUCCGCAAAGGGCAUCAUCGGCCGAAAAGAGGAAUAUUACCACCCCAAGCCUAAACAAGAUUCCAUGGUUUUGAAAGAUUGAAAUUAAAAAACAGAAAUGGAUCUGGGCUGGGCAUCUAGUCCAAUAAGCAUGUCGUUUCGAUUUAAAGUUGGCACGCACUCCCAGAUAAGUCCUCCCUUUUAUCCAAAAAGAGACAUACCUCUAAAUCCAUGUGUUUGCUUUUGUUGUUUCUCCCACUCUUUUUCUUUUUAACUUUGAUGUCCUGACCAUUCCUCAAGAGAAGGUAGCAAGACCGAUCUCACGGGUUUUCUCUUGACAAGAAUUAAAAGGAAUAUCCGGUAUCAACGAGCACAUUUAGCCAAUCCCGGCUGAUAAUGAUGGCUGACGCUUCAAAAGCUGGAAAGAAGAAAGGAAAGAAAUUCAAGUUGAGAGCCUGAAAAUGCGAAUGAAGAUUGGAAAGUUUAAUCCCAAGCGGGCUAAUCAUUCCUACAAAGUUCUCGAAAGGAAAGCCCCGAAGUGGAAAUCGGGACAAAAAUCAUAGCAAAGGACCUGUAAAAGAAAAACCAAUUUGAAAGAUGAGGACCCCCCGACCAACCUACGGGGCGAAGUUCGGAAGUCAAGAGUUUCUUCCAACAAAAAUGAGGCAGAGAUCAAGCAAAACAAGGCCAAAAACCAAUCACAGUUCAAACUAACAAAUUGCUUCAUUUUUGAAUUAAAAUUUGAAACAGGUGUAAUCUAAAAACAAUGGGAACACGUGACUAAUGCAAUCAAAGGAAUGGAACAAGGGCUAAGAAUAGUGUUGCAUCAAUAACAAAAGGGGAAGUUUUCUUUACAUUCUUUUCCUGCAGCUUCAUAAAUAAACGUGAUAGCAUGGGACUCCGAUCUUUUACUCCUUCCCCAUAUUUAGGGCCACAUCCCUAGUCUUCCCCUGUGCAACUUGUCGACCUCCUCGGCAUAACCCAAGGGUCGCACUCCACUCUCCUUAGCACAGACCAAGAAAUUUCUUUCUUUCGUUCCCCGGCAUAAUCUGGGGGUUUCUCUUUAUAUCCUAGCAUAACUUGGGAACCAUUUCCUCUUCUCGUCCCCAGCAUAACCUGAGGGCCCCUCUUUUGCCUAUGUUCCUCAGAGUAGUCUAAGAGUUAAGGCUCUUCUGUUCUUAGCAUAACCUAAAGGUCUUUCCUUUCCUUCUCUAUCCCCAGCAUAGUCAAAAGGAUCUUUGUGGCCUUUCACUUCCUUCAAUCUCCUGGCAUAACCCAGAAAUUUCCCAUUCAAUCCCCGCAUAACCCGCGGAUCUCCCUAGCAUAACCUAGGAGUUUUUCAUUCAAUCCCGUCAUAACCCUCGGAUUUCCCUAGAAUAACCUAGGAGUUUAUCUUUCAAUCCCGGAAUAUCCUGCGGAUAUCCCUAGCAUAACCUAGGAGCUUCUCUUUCAAUGUCGGCAUAACCCGCGGAUUCCCCUAGCAUAACCCAGCAAUUUUCCAUUCAAUCCCGGCAUAACCUGCGGAUCUCCCUAGCAUAACCUAGGAAUUUUUCAUUCAAUCCCGGCAUAACCCGUGGAUUCCCCUGGCAUAACCCAGGAAUUUUCCAUUCAAUCCCGGCAUAACCCGGGGAUUCCCCUGGCAUAACCCAGGAAUUUUUCAUUCAGUCUCUAUAUAACCCGCGGAUCUCCCUAGCAUAACCUAGGAGUUUAUCUUUCAAUCCCGGCAUAACCAGCGGAUUCCCCUGGCAUAACCCAGGAAUUUUCCAUUCAAUCACGGCAUAACCCGCGGAUCCCCCUGGCAUAACCCAGGAAUCUUCCAUUCAGUCCCGGCAUAACCCGCGGAUCUCCCUAGCAUAACCAAGGGAUUUUUCUUUCAAUCCCGACAUAACCAGGAAUUUUCCAUUCGAUCCCGGCAUAACCCGCGGAUCUCCCUAGCAUAACCUAGUAAUGUUCUUUUCAAUCCCGGCAUAACCCACGGAUCUCCCGAGCAUAACCUAGGAGUGUUCCUUUCUAUCCCGGCAUAACCCGCGGAUUCCCCUGGCAUAACCUAGGAAUUUUCCAUUCAAUCUCGGCAUGACCCGUGGAUCUCCCUAGCAUAACCUAGGAGGUUUUCUUUCAAUCCCGGCAUAACCCGCGAAUUCCGCUGGCAUAACCUAGGAGUUUUUCUUUCAAUCCCGGCAUAACCCACGGAUUCCCCUGGCAUAACCUAGGAAUGUUCCUUUCAAUCCCAGCAUAACCUGCGGAUCUCCCUAGCAUAACCUAGGAGUGUUCUUUUCAAUCCUAGCAUAACCCGCGGAUUCCCCUGGCAUAACCCAGGAAUUUUCCAUUCAAUCCCGGUAUAACCCGCGGAUCUCCCUAGCAUAACCUAGGAGUUUUUAUUUCUAUCCCGGCAUAACCCGCGGAUCUCCCUAGCAUAACCUGGGAGUUUUCCUUUCAAUCUCGGCGUAACAUGCGGAUCUUCCUACCAUAACCCAGGAAUUUUCCAUUCAAUCCCGGCAUAACCCGCAGAUCUCCCUAGCAUAACCUAGGAGUUUUUCUUUGAAUCCCUACAUAACCCGUAGUUUCCCCUGGCAUAACCCAGGAAUCUUCCAUUCAAUCCCGGCAUAACCCACGGAUUCCCCUAUCACAACCUAUAUCUUUCAAUCCCGGCAUAACCCGCGGAUAUCCCUAGCAUAACCAAGGGAUUUUCUUUCAAUCCCGGCAUAAUCCGCGGAUUUUCCUGGCAUAAUCCAGGAAUUUUCAACUCAAACCCAACGUAACCCAUGGAUUUUCCCUAGCAUAACCUAGAAAUUUUUUUUUGAACCCCGAUAUAACCCGUGGAUUCUCCUUUUCCCAGCAGGGACCCCUCAUUCCCAUCUCAGCAUAACCCCUGGAUCUUCCUCUUAUCCCCAGCAAUAACCUUUUCUCCUUCCCAACAUAACCUGGCAAUCAGUCCAAAGGAUACACAAUCCUGACUUUCAUUGUCUUCGGUAAAGAAAUAGCUCAGAUUUGUGUUGCAAAUAACUCACAAAAUUUUCCAGUUAAAACUAGGGAAGAAAUUUCAUUCGUUUGUUUUUUAUGUCAGAACAGGUGGCACCUCAAGGCACAAGACUCGAGGUAACUAAGAGCGUAAAGUCUCAAUCAAGGAAAAGAAGAGAGCAAAAGGUGAAAACUCAUAAUGUUCAAAAAAAGGGAAAGGAUGCGGACGGCUCAAAGUGUGAUUGAAGUUACAAGUCUCGUUGCCCUGCUCCAGUCCAAAUACUGAAAUAAAACCAGUACCUAUAACGUGCGAGCGUCAAGAUUCAGAUCGAGGUCUACAGCAAAAUCAGCUAAGACUCGAGAUCAAACUACAAGAGAUGUAUAUNNNNNNNNNNNNNNNNNNNNNNNNNNNNNNNNNNNNNNNNNNNNNNNNNNNNNNNNNNNNNNNNNNNNNNNNNNNNNNNNNNNNNNNNNNNNNNNNNNNNNNNNNNNNNNNNNNNNNNNNNNNNNNNNNNNNNNNNNNNNNNNNNNNNNNNNNNNNNNNNNNNNNNNNNNNNNNNNNNNNNNNNNNNNNNCAGAACUACACUGACCUGAUUCCUUUAUCGCCAAGGAUAUGUAGGCAACCUUUGAAGCAAGGUUCGGUCAGACAUCUUUUCAAAAUGCUUCUCCUCGAGUUAUGAGUAGGCAAAAAUCCCGCAUAGCACUCAUUAUAUUUGACCAAAAACCCUUCGUGUUACAGGGCAAAGAGGGACAGCUGUGAGCACGUGAUUUUUGCCUCGUUAAAAUUACUCCUACAGAAUUCUCAGACUUAGGAUUUCUCCUUUUAAUUAUUAAAUUUUAGGAUUUAAUUGCGCAUACUAGUGUGUAUUUUCUUUGGUGCACGCAUGAAAAGUCAUGGAAAUACAAAAAAAAGUUAUUAAUUACAUAAGCAUUUAGGAUUUGAUUUCACAUAUUGUUGUUAGAAUUAAUUGGUAAUUAGGGUUUUGUUUUGCGAAGUAUAAAAUAUCACAAAAAAUAAGUAAUUUAUUUCGGCAUAUCUAAUUUGUAGCUUCAAAAUUGUUAAAUUUCAUAUCUGUUGAGUUUAGGUGAUUAUUAGUCUAAUCUAGUUGAAUUUAGUAUUUAGUUUGAUAAGAUUUUAAAAAUAAAUUAGGAAGUUUUUAAAAUGAAAAUGAAAAAAAAGGAAGGAAUUAAAAGCCUUUAGAUUAGGCUGGCCACAAUUGGGCCAAGUCUGAGUGGCCCAAAUACCCUAUCCUUCCAAAAGGACCAAAAAAUCGGCCCAAACCCGUCUCUGACCCAAGCUGCUAUGAGAAACGCCCCAAAACGACGUCGUUUUGGGGCCAUCAAUCUCAGUUGUUCAUCAACUAUGAUCCAACGGCCUGGGUUCAAUGAGAUCAUUACAUAAAAAGGUCUAAAUCAGACCAAACCUUAGAGACAAACACCAUCUUCCUCGUACCCUCCAUCUCCGUUAAUACACCGCCUUAUAGCCGCCAGCCAGAAAUCAUCUCCGCCGGCAGCAGAGCUCCGAUGCUCCCAAAAAAACACCCUUGACUCACCGUGCCCUCCUCUUUCCGAUGCCAUAAGAAUCAAGUCUCAACUGUAAGCCGAUCUCUUCGAAUAUUGAAAACUUUGGAAAUCGCUUCCGCCGCCCACGGCGACGCCACCGCCGGAAACUUUCCAGAAUAACACCAUAUGUCCUUUACCCCAUCCCCGUAACGCAUCCAUGUUCAAAUUCCUCCAAACCCCUACCCAUUGCUUCGAAUAUUAUAUCAAAGCAUUGACCAAAUACCCAACCUCCUCGGAACCCCUUGAAACUGAUACCAGGUGACCUCCUCACCUUUCCCUCCACAAAUCUAAAACCAACGGCUUUCGAAUACAACUGAAUCUGGCAAAAAAUCAAAUCAAAAUGGUAUGAAACCCAAACCCCAUCCCAAGCCAAUAACCCUACACCUAAUACCUUCUCCCCCUCUCAAAUGAUGGCACAAAGUUCCCAAAACUCCAAAGACCUUCCCAGAAAUUGCUGAAAACCAUGAGACGUGAAAGUUCUGAGAUUUUUAGGGUUGUAGUGUUAAGCUAAGUUCCAUGUUUUCCUUUUGAUUGCUUUUAAUUUUGCUUUGUUUUCGUUUGUGUGAGUACAUGAAUGUUCUAUUUGCUCAUAUGUGAAAAUAAUUUGAUUAAUUGCUUUGUUUCCAUCCAGAAUCAUGUGCCUUUUUGUUUUUAAGUUUUGAUAACAUGUUCUGAAUGGUCCCCUUACCAAUUGAAGUCAUAGAUGUUCCUUGAUUAAUUUGAAUAAUUCUGUUAAGCUUAAAUUGUUCAUCUUCCCUGGUUUAACUUUCCAUUUUUCGUUUUAAUUUGAUCAAUGUUCAUUUGUGAUAAACUUUGUUUCUGAAGUUUGUGCUGGUUAGCUUUAUCUUUGCUUCUGAGUAAUUCAGUCCCAUAUUUUGGUACCUGUCUAAAUCCGCAUGUAUAUAUGUGUUUCAUUGACCGAUUAUUUAUCAAUUUCGACCAUCUUUUGUUUGCCUUUAAUAGUAUAGUGUUGUCUUCAAUUUAAUAUUUAGUCAUGCCCAGCUUUCUUAAAACUCGACCGCAACUUCAAAUGAGACUAUGGUUUAUCGCCUUGAGUAAUUUACCAUGGUCAACUCCUGACCAAAUGGAUAGGUACCAGGGUAUAAAAGGUUUAUGGCCUUGAGUAAUUAACCAUGGUCAACUCCUGACCAAAUGGAUAGGCACCACGUUAGAAAACAUUUAGGCUAGUAAUUAAGAAGGGAAAACAUGGGUAACGGGGGUAUUUGGGGAUAAGAAUCUUGUAACAAACCCCUGGAACCUUCUAGUUGGAGGUUCGAAAUGUAAUUUUUGUUAAUUUCUUCUCAAAUCGUGAGGCACAAGUUUAAGAAAUAUGGAAUCAAUUAAGCAAAUCUCAAAAAUGGGGAAGGGGCUGAUAAGAAAACAAGAAGAAAUUGUUGCCCUAAGGCCUUGGUUAUAAAAGGAUAUUUUAUGGUCUUAGAAUGGAGAGAUUGUCUUUAUGAGAAGAGUUUGAGAACACCAUCUGAAAAAUUUCCUGAAAUUCCUAAGCUUUUCUGGCCAAAAACCUCUUAAAUUUUUCAUAAAUAAUCAGAAUUACACCCUUUGUAAGGUGAAGAUGACCUGAGGUAUAUACAUUUAGGGUGUUAGAAUUCUCAGAAUCUACUUUGGGUACUGGUCCCAGACUGGUUUCUUUUGUUCGAGCUAUAGAAUUGGAACUUGUGUUGUUGUUGAUCUUUCAAAGCCUUCCUGAGUUUCCUGAUACUACUCCUGGGUCUUAAUUGAUUGAUCUGCUGUUGUUUGUUGCUUCUCACUUACCUUACUCAUGGGUGUUUCCCCAUUGCUUUAAUUCCAGGUACCUACUAUCACUCAGGAAAAUCUGGAAAUGCACAACUGUAUAUAUGCAUAGUCAUAUUUGAUAAUGAAGACAUUAAUAUUUUUUAUGUUAAUGUUAUAGUGCAAAUGUUACUAGUUUAGCGACUUUUAGGAUAUUCAUCUUAUCUUGG